GCAGUGGUGGUUCAGCAGUAGAAUUCUCAUCUCCCAUGCGGGAGACCGGGGUUUGAUUCCCAGACAAUGCA
rnacentral:tRNA from 1 species